rnacentral:rRNA from 1 species
AGCGAACGCUGGCGGCAGGCUUAACACAUGCAAGUCGAGCGCCCCGCAAGGGGAGCGGCAGACGGGAGAGUAACACGUGGGAACGUACCCUUUAGUUCGGAACAACCCAGGGAAACUUGGGCUAAUACCGGAUACGUCCGUAAGGAGAAAGAUUUAUCGCUAAAGGAUCGGCCCGCGUCUGAUUAGCUAGUUGGUGAGGUAACGGCUCACCAAGGCGACGAUCAGUAGCUGGUCUGAGAGGAUGAUCAGCCUCACUGGGACUGAGAAACGGCCCAGACUCCUACGGGAGGCAGCAGUGGGGAAUAUUGGACAAUGGGCGCAAGCCUGAUCCAGCCAUGCCGCGUGGGUGAUGAGGGCCCUAGGGUUGUAAAGCCCUUUCGGCGGGGAAGAUAAUGACGGUACCCGCAGAAGAAGCCCCGGCUAACUUCGUGCCAGCAGCCGCCGUAA